AGAUUUUUAGUUUGUUAACCCGAAACUAAGGGAGCUACUCCAAGACAGCCUGUUAAUAGGGCGCACCCGUCUCUGUUGCAAAAGAGUGGGACGAGCUUUGAGUAGAGGUGACAAGCCUACCGAACUUAGUUAUAGCUGGUUGCCCAAGAAAUGAAUAGUAGUUCAGCCUCCCGGCUUCUCCGUUCACCUCAGUGUACACACAUUCCUGAUGUUUCAAGAAACCGUGAGAGUUAUUCAAAGGGGGUACAGCCCCUUUGAAACAAGACACAACUUUUCCAGGAGGGUAAAGAUCAUAAUUACACAAGGUAAGUAACUCUCGUGGGCCCGAAAGCAGCCACCCCCUAAAGAAAGCGUCUAAGCUCGAAACAAUCUUGCCCCUCCCCCAAUCCUGAUCAUUUAAUCUUAUCCCCCUAAACUUAUUGAGCCGUCCCAUGCCAACAUGGGAGUGACCAUGCUAAUAUAAGUAAUAAGAAAGCCCUGACUUUCUCCCCGCACGCGUGUAAAUCGGAAUGGACCCCCCACCGAAUAUUAACGGCCCCAAAUACAGAGGGCAAUGGGAUUAUAAACCAAACACCAAGAAAAUUCUUCAACCACCAACCGUACCCCAACACAGGUGUGCCCCUAGGGAAAAACUAAAAGGGGGAGAAGGACUUCGGAAACACAUAAAGCCUUGGCUGUUUACCAAAAACAUUGGCUUUUGCAAAUAAUGAAUAAAAGGUCCGCCUGCCCUGUGACUAUUAGUUUAACGGCCGCGGUAUUUU
rnacentral:rRNA from 1 species